AAUUAUCAAUACAAGAAAUUUAAAUUUUUUAAACCGCCAUAAAAUCAGAAUAAUCUCCUUGGACAAAGAAUUAACUAUUAGGUGCUAAUUAAAAUGAAUAAAAUAAUUAAGUAUAUAGCGACAGUACUUAUAUAAAUUUUUAAUUAAAAGAAAUUAAUAAGAAUAUUAAAUACAAUUCAGUUCUACACCAAAUAUUUAUUCGUAUAUUACCCAAUGUAAUUUAAAAUAAAAACCUAAAUUUUACUUUUAAUUUUACUUUAACCUAAAUUAUCAUUUAAAUAAAUAAAUUCAAUAUACUUCUAUCUAGAUUUUAUACAUGUAUAACGGGCAGUAAGAAUAAUUUUUAUUCUGUUCAGCAUUGUUUCAUUUACAUGACCUUUCACAUAAAUCUUUCUUAAUUUAUUUUUAUUUAUAGAUU
rnacentral:rRNA from 1 species